rnacentral:rRNA from 1 species
UACGAAGGGGGCUAGCGUUGUUCGGAAUUACUGGGCGUAAAGCGCGCGCAGGCGGUCUUCCAAGUCAGUGGUGAAAGCCCGGAGCUCAACUCCGGAACUGCCAUUGAAACUGUUGGACUUGAGUACGAGAGAGGUGAGUGGAAUUCCCAGUGUAGAGGUGAAAUGCGUAGAGAUGUGGAGGAACACCAGUGGCGAAGGCGGCUUCUGGUCAGUAACUGACGCUGAGGCGCGAAAGCGUGGGGAGCAAACAGG